GAUGAAGAACGUAGCGAAAUGCGAUAAGUAAUGUGAAUUGCAGAAUUCAGUGAAUCAUCGAAUCUUUGAACGCACAUUGCGCCCCUUGGUAUUCCGAGGGGCAUGCCUGUUCGAGCGUCAUUAUAACCCCUCAAGCUCAGCUUGGUGUUGGGGCCUGCCGCACGGGCAGCCCUUAAAAUCAGUGGCGGUGCCAUCUGGCUCUAAGCGUAGUAAUUCUUCUCGCUAUAGAGUCCCGGUGGAUGCUUGCCAUUAACCCCCAAUUUUCUAUGUUUGACCUCGGAUCAGGUAGGGAUACCCGCUGAACUUAAGCAUAUCAAUAAGCGGAGGA
rnacentral:misc_RNA from 1 species